CGGACGGGUGAGUAACGCGUGGGUAACCUGCCUUGUACUGGGGGACAACAGUUAGAAAUGACUGCUAGUACCGCAUAAGCGCACAGUAUCGCAUGAUACAGUGUGAAAAACUCCGGUGGUACAAGAUGGACCCGCGUCUGAUUAGCUAGUUGGUAAGGUAACGGCUUACCAAGGCGACGAUCAGUAGCCGACCUGAGAGGGUGACCGGCCACAUUGGGACUGAGACACGGCCCAA
rnacentral:rRNA from 1 species